rnacentral:rRNA from 1 species
AGAGUUUGAUCCUGGCUCAGGAUGAACGCUGGCGGCGUGCCUAACACAUGCAAGUCGAGCGAACCCUUCGGGGUGAGCGGCGGACGGGUGAGUAACGCGUGGGUAACCUGCCCUGUACACACGGAUAACAUACCGAAAGGUAUGCUAAUACGAGAUAAUAUGUAAUGAUCGCAUGGUCGAUACAUCAAAGCUCCGGCGGUACAGGAUGGACCCGCGUCUGAUUAGCUAGUUGGUGAGGUAAUGGCUCACC